UACGUAGGGGGCAAGCGUUGUCCGGAAUCAUUGGGCGUAAAGCGCGUGUAGGCGGCCAGAUAAGUCCGUUCUGAAAGCCCGGGGCUCAACCCCGGGAGGCGGAUGGAUACUGUUUGGCUCGAGUCCGGAAGAGGCGAGUGGAAUUCCCGGUGUAGCGGUGAAAUGCGCAGAUAUCGGGAGGAACACCUGUGGCGAAAGCGGCGCACUGGACCACAACUGACGCUGAGGCGCGAAAGCUAGGGGAGCAAACAGG
rnacentral:rRNA from 1 species